AACGUAGGAGACAAACGUUAUCCGGAGUUACUGGGCGUAAAGGGCGUGUAGGCGGUUAGUUAAGUCUGGCGUGAAGGCUCUCGGCUAAACCGGGAGAGGUCGUUGGAUACUGGCUGACUAGAGGAUGGUAGAGGCGUGUGGAAUUCCGGGUGUAGUGGUGAAAUGCGUAGAGAUCCGGAGGAACACCAGUGGCGAAGGCGACACGCUGGGCCAUACCUGACGCUAAAGCGCGACAGCAUGGGGAGCAAACGGG
rnacentral:rRNA from 1 species